rnacentral:rRNA from 1 species
AUUCCAGCUCCAAUAGCGAAUACUAAUUCUGCUGCAGCUAAAAAGCUCGUAGUUGAACUUCUGGUAGGAGCGACCGUGCCGAACUUGAUUGUUCGUGUAUUGUGUUGUCUUCAGCCAUCCUCGUGGAGAACUUUUCUAACAUUAACUUGUUGGGAUUGGGACCCGCGUCGUUUACUGUGAAAAAAUUAGAGUGUUUAAAGCAGGCAUUAGCUUGAAUACAUUAGCAUGGAAUAAUAAGAUAGGACUUUGGUACUAUUUUGUUGGUUUGCAUACCAAAUUAAUGAUCAACAGGAACAGUUUGAGGAUAUUCGUAUGAACAUGUCAGAGGUGAAAUUCUUGGAUUUUGAUCAGACGAACUACUGCGAAAGCAUUUAUCAAGGAUGUUUUCAUUA